rnacentral:rRNA from 1 species
UGGGGAAUAUUGGACAAUGGGCGCAAGCCUGAUCCAGCCAUGCCGCGUGAGUGAUGAAGGCCUUAGGGUUGUAAAGCUCUUUCGGCGGGGACGAUAAUGACGGUACCCGCAGAAGAAGCCCCGGCUAACUUCGUGCCAGCAGCCGCGGUAAUACGAAGGGGGCUAGCGUUGCUCGGAAUCACUGGGCGUAAAGGGCGCGUAGGCGGACAUUUAAGUCGGGGGUGAAAGCCCAGGGCUCAACCCUGGAAUUGCCUCCGAUACUGGGUGUCUCGAGACCGGAAGAGGUGAGUGGAACUGCGAGUGUAGAGGUGAAAUUCGUAGAUAUUCGCAAGAACACCAGUGGCGAAGGCGGCUCACUGGUCCGGUUCUGACGCUGAGGCGCGAAAGCGUGGGGAGCAAACAGGAUUAGAUACCCUGGUAGUCCACGCCGUAAACGAUGGAUGCUAGCCGUUGGCAGGCUUGCCUGUCAGUGGCGCAGCUAACGCUUUAAGCAUCCCGCCUGGGGAGUACGGCCGCAAGGUUAAAACUC